UACGGGGGGGGCAAGCGUUGUUCGGAAUUACUGGGCGUAAAGGGCUCGUAGGUGGCCAACUAAGUCGGACGUGAAAUCCCUCGGCUUAACCGGGGAAUUGCGCCUGAAACUACAUGGCUAGAGCAUUGGAGAGGGUAGCGGAAUUCACGGUGUAGCAGUGAAAUGCGUAGAUAUCGUGAGGAACACCAGAGGCGAAGGCGGCUACCUGGACAAUUGCUGACGCUCAGGCACGAAAGCGUGGGGAGCAAAAGGG
rnacentral:rRNA from 1 species